rnacentral:rRNA from 1 species
AGCGAACGUUUGCGGCGGGCCUAACACAUGCAAGUCGAACGCACUAGCAAUAGUGAGUGGCGCACGGGUGCGUAACACGUGGGUAAUCAACCCUUCAGCUUGGGAUAACGACUUGAAAGGGUCGCUAAUACCGGAUACGGCGAGAGAGGCUUCGGCAUUUCUCGAGAAAGCCUCGCAAGGGGCACUGAAGGACGAGCCUGCGGCCCAUCAGCUAGUUGGUGAGGUAAGAGCUCACCAAGGCGAAGACGGGUAGCUGGUCUGAGAGGAUGAUCAGCCACACUGGAACUGAGACACGGUCCAGACUCCUACGGGAGGCAGCAGUGGGGAAUAUUGCGCAAUGGGCGAAAGCCUGACGCAGCCACGCCGCGUGAGCGAUGAAGGCCUUGGUCGUAAAGACUCUGUGGGGAGGAGACGAAGAAGA